CGAACGCUGGCGGCGUGCUUAACACAUGCAAGUCGAACGGAAAGGCCCCUUUGGGGGUCCUCGAGUGGCGAACGGGUGAGUAACACGUGAGUAACCUGCCCUUGACUUCGGGAUAACUUCAGGAAACUGGGGCUAAUACCGGAUAGGAAUCCUUGCUGCAUGGUGGGGGUUGGAAAGCUUCGGCGGUUUUGGAUGGACUCGCGGCUUAUCAGCUUGUUGGUGGGGUAGUGGCUUACCAAGGCUUUGACGGGUAGCCGGCCUGAGAGGGCGACCGGCCACAUUGGGACUGAGAUACGGCCCAGACUCCUACGGGAGGCAGCGGUGGGGAAUAUUGCACAAUGGGCGGAAGCCUGAUGCAGCAACGCCGCGGGCGGGAUGACGGCCUUCGGGUUGUAAACCGCUUUCAGCAGGGGCGAAGCUUGUGGUGACGGUACCUGCAGAAGAAGCACCGGCUAACUACGUG
rnacentral:rRNA from 1 species